GCCUGAAUAUUUUUAAAUGUCAAAGCUUCAAAGGUAGGAAGUGCAACAGAAAAAAGGGGUAAUUCUAUUCUAAAUGGAGUCUACGGCCUGCGGCUGGUUAUCCGCCUCUGCAGCAGGAAAUGAUUGAAAAGGCCUGCACACUCACCUAAACAAAAAAACCGUAUUGUAUUCUGUUGAUAUAGACUGGAUGCCAGGUAGUUAUGAUAACAUGCAAUGCUGUCUGAAGUUGUCGAAUCAAGCUGAUUUGGGAUGGUUGAGCUGCGUAUAACAAUGUCAUUAUAAAAUGAAUUCAUUGAAA